UCCGAUAUGGUGUAACGGUAACAUAAGCCGCUUUCAUCUGAGUUCCUCUGAUACAACCGGCUAGCCCCGGGUUCGAUUCCCGGUAUCGGAA
rfam:Talaromyces stipitatus ATCC 10500 scf_1105507295523 genomic scaffold, whole genome shotgun sequence.